GGUGAACGCUAGCUACAGGCUUAACACAUGCAAGUCGAGGGGUAACGAGAGGAAAGCUUGCUUUCCUUGUCGACGACCGGCGCACGGGUGAGUAACGCGUAUCCAACCUGCCCCCAACUAGGGAAUAACCUUGCGAAAGUAAGACUAAUACCCUAUAAUUUCCUCAGAUGACAUCGGACGAGGAAUAAAGAUUUAUCGGUUGUGGAUGGGGAUGCGUAUGAUUAGCGUGGUGGCGGGGUAACGGCCCACAAAGGCAACGAUCAGUAGGGGUUCAGCGACGAAGGUCCCCCACAUUGGGAACAAGACACGGGCCAAACUCCUACGGGAGGCAGCAGAGAGGAAUAUUGUUCAAUGAGCGGAAGCCUGAACCAGCCAAGUAGCGUGCAGGAUGACGGCCAUAUGGGUUGUAAACUGCUUUUAUACAGGAAUAAAGUUAGCCACGUGUGGUUAUUUGUAGGUACUGUAUGAAUAAGGACCGGCUAAUUCCGUGCCAGCCGCCGCAGUAA
rnacentral:rRNA from 1 species